AGAGUUUGAUCAUGGCUCAGAAUCAACGCUGGCGGCGUGCCUAACACAUGCAAGUCGAACGAGAAAGCGGGGGCAACCCUGCAAGUACAGUGGCAGACGGGUGAGUAACACGUGAACAACCUACCCUCGAGUGGGGGAUAACACCGCGAAAGCGGUGCUAAUACCGCAUAAUAUCUUUGGGUUGCAUGAUCUGAAGAUCAAAAGCGCAAGUUGCUUGGGGAGGGGUUCGCGGCUGAUUAGCUAGUUGGUGAGGUAACGGCCCACCAAGGCAACGAUCARUAGCCGGCCUGAGAGGGCGAACGGCCACACUGGAACUGAGACACGGUCCAGACUCCUACGGGAGGCAGCAGUGGGGAAUUUUGCGCAAUGGGCGAAAGCCUGACGCAGCAACGCCGCGUGGAGGAUGAAGGCCUUCGGGUCGUAAACUCCUGUCAGUGGGGACGAAGACAAUGACUGUACCCGCUGAGGAAGCCACGGCUAACUCCGUGCCAGCAGCCGCGGUAAUACGGAGGUGGCAAGCGUUGUUCGGAAUUACUGGGCGUAAAGGGCGCGUAGGCGGCAUGGCAAGUCAGAUGUGAAAUCCCCGGGCUUAACUCGGGAACUGCAUCUGAAACUGUUUUGCUUGAGUUCUGGAGGGGAUGGUGGAAUUCCCAGUGUAGCGGUGAAAUGCGUAGAUAUUGGGAGGAACACCUGCGGCGAAGGCGGCCAUCUGGACAGUAACUGACGCUGAGGCGCGAAAGCUAGGGUAGCAAACGGGAUUAGAUACCCCGGUAGUCCUAGCUGUAAACGAUGGGCACUUGGUGUUGGGGGGUAUUGAGUCCCUCGRUGCCGGAGCUAACGCGAUAAGUGCCCCGCCUGGRGAGUACGGUCGCAAGACUGAAACUCAAAGGACUUGACGGGGGCCGCACAGCGGUUGAAGCAUGUGAUCAAUUCGACGCAACGCGAGAUCUACCGGCUGACUGUACUGCGACUCGUGCAACACGGGGAUUCUCUCGGGAGACCG
rnacentral:rRNA from 1 species